rnacentral:tRNA from 2 species
GCGGAUGUAGCUCAGCUGGUAGAGUGCUUGCCUAACGUGCAGGAGGCUCAAGUUCAGUUCCCGGCACCAGCU